AGAGUUUGAUCCUGGCUCAGGAUGAACGUUGGCGGCGUGCCUAAUACAUGCAAGUCGAACGGUAGUUGAGCAUUCGUGCUUGAUGAGAGUGGCGAACGGGUGAGUAACACGUAACUGAUCUGCCCUUUAGACUGGGAUAACCUUUGGAAACAGAGGCUAAUACCGGAUGAGUUCGCGGUAGUUAGAGAGCCGUGAGGAAAGGCUAAUGCGCUAAGGGAUGAGGUUGCGGGCCAUCAGCUAGUUGGUGAGGUAAAGGCUCACCAAGGCGAUGACGGUUAGGGGAUCUGAGAGGGUGGCCCCCCACACUGGGACUGAGACACGGCCCAGACUCCUACGGGAGGCAGCAGUAAGGGAUAUUGCACAAUGGACGGAAGUCUGAUGCAGCGACGCCGCGUGGGUGAAGAAGGUUUUCGGAUCGUAAAGCCCUUUUCUAUGUGACGAGAGAGGACGGUAGCAUAGGAAUAAGUGUCGGCUAACUACGUGCCAGCAGCCGCGGUAAAACGUAGGACGCGAACGUUAUCCGGAGUUACUGGGCGUAAAGCGCGCGUAGGCGGUUGGUUAAGUUACCUAUGAAAGAUACAGGCUAAACUUGUAUUGGUUAGGUGAAACUGGCUAACUAGAGAGACAUAGAGGGAAGUAGAAUUCCGGGUGUAGUGGUGAAAUGCGUAGAUAUCCGGAGGAAUACCGGUGGCGAAGGCGGCUUCCUGGAUUUCCACUGACGCUGAUGCGCGAAAGCGUGGGUAGCGAACGGGAUUAGAAACCCCCGGUAGUCCACGCCGUAAACGAUGUACAUUAGGCGUUCGGUUAC
rnacentral:rRNA from 1 species